UUGUGUCAGGAAGCUGGAGUAAUAACUUUGCCUUGUACAUUUUAUUUGAGCUGGUUCCUCUCAGAAUAAUGGUCCCAGCCUAGACAGCCAUGGAAGAUGAGUCACCAGUUACCUGCUCUGAAUGUGGACCAUUUUUUCCUGGAGAUAGCAUCACUUUCAUUAUUUGCAAUGACACAGAAAUGUAAAAGAUCUUAAAAAUCACCUGCCUGGAGCCAGCAGAUGUCAUAUUGGUUGAAGUGCUUCAUACCUACAUGGUCAACCAUGAUCGAAGUCCUGGACCUGGUUGCUUGAAACUCACACAGACA